CCUACGGGUGGCAGCAGUGAGGAAUAUUGGUCAAUGGGCGCGAGCCUGAACCAGCCAAGUCGCGUGAGGGAAGACGGUCCUAUGGAUUGUAAACCUCUUUUGUCGGGGAGCAAAAGACGCCACGCGUGGCGUUCCGAGAGUACCCGAAGAAAAAGCAUCGGCUAACUCCGUGCCAGCACCCGCGGUAAUACGGAGGAUGCGAGCGUUUUCCGGAUUUAGUGGGUUGAAAGGGGGCGCAGGGGGAAGAUCAAGUCAGCGGGAAAAUUGAGAGGUUAAACGUCUACGAGCCGUUGAAACUGGUGUUCUGGAGUGAGCGAGAAGUAUGCGGAAUGCGUGGUGUAGCGGUGAAAUGCAUAGAUAUCACGCAGAACUCCGAUUGCGAAGGCAGCAUACCGGCGCUCAACUGACGCUCAUGCACGAAAGUGUGGGUAUCGAACAGGAUUAGAUACCCCAGUAGUC
rnacentral:rRNA from 1 species